UACGGGGGGAGCAAGCGUUGUUCGGAUUUACUGGGCGUAAAGGGCGCGUAGGCGGUCAGCACAAGUCAGUUGUGAAAUCUCCGGGCUUAACCCGGAAAGGUCAACUGAUACUGUGCGACUAGAGUGCGGAAGGGGCAACUGGAAUUCUCGGUGUAGCGGUGAAAUGCGUAGAUAUCGAGAGGAACACCUGCGGCGAAGGCGGGUAGCUGGGCCGACACUGACGCUGAGACGCGAAAGCCAGGGGAGCGAACGGG
rnacentral:rRNA from 1 species